UGUUCGUGUUCAAACAAACGGGGGAGUUGUCGCUGAAUCUAGCCAAGGUAGGUUGCCGGAGAGCUUGAGAUUGGGUAGUUCCGAUGACGCUAUUAUUGAGCCCAUCCUGCGGGAUUCCAAGGGUCCCUUUUCUGUUGGAGUUGGUCAUCAUCAUCUUGGUAGUUCUUUCAAGAUAGCUUCACAGCUGGACGUGUUAUCUUCCCAGUAUCGUGCUGCCAAAGAUUUGUUCUUUGACCCUGAUUGUCUCUGCUCCAUUCAGAGCUUUGGUGAGAUCCGUAGGGUAGCAUCCAAGAUAUGGAGGCUUUCAUGGAUACCUACGCUAACUUUCUCCCCCGUAUCUCAGCGUUCUCACUUUGCAAGCAGAUCGAUGUUGGUUAUACUUUAUUCAAGGUUUAUAGGGCUAAAUGCACUCAUUUGAGGGCCCUGCUGUAAUGUGCUCGUCAAGAGUAUGCUCUUGCCAUUGCUUAGCAACCUUCGUCGAGUGAUGCUACUUCUGCUGCUAAGAUAUCUUCGUUGGAGGAUGAUCUGAGGAAAACCCAGAGAUCUCUGGAAGCUUGUUUAUUGGCUCUUGAGAGAGAUAAUAAUGCUUCUAAGGUUGCCGAGGAUGGUCGCAAAUCUGCUGAUGUUGUCUUAGCUGCCGAGUCUUCUAAAGACAUAGGCCUCCAAGAGCAGUUGGUGGGUGCUAACGCCAAGAUUAACCGCCUUGAGGGCCAGAUAUCUCAGCUGGAG